UACGGAGGAUCCGAGCGUUAUCCUGAUUUAUUGGGUUUAAAGGGUGCGUAGGCGGCCAUUUAAGUCAGCGGUGAAAUUUUGCAGCUUAACUGUAACAGUGCCGUUGAUACUGGGGAGCUAGGAUUUGGUUGCUGUGGGUGGAAUGUGUGGUGUAGCGGUGAAAUGCUUAGAGAUCACACAGAAUAUCGAUUGCGAAGGCAGCUCACAAAGCCAAGAUUGACGCUGAGGCACGAAAGUGUGGGGAGGCAAACAGGAUUA
rnacentral:rRNA from 1 species